rnacentral:rRNA from 1 species
CCUUUGACGUUAGCGGCGGACGGGUGAGUAACACGUGGGUAACCUACCUAUAAGACUGGGAUAACUUCGGGAAACCGGAGCUAAUACCGGAUAAUAUUUCGAACCGCAUGGUUCGAUAGUGAAAGAUGGUUUUGCUAUCACUUAUAGAUGGACCCGCGCCGUAUUAGCUAGUUGGUAAGGUAACGGCUUACCAAGGCGACGAUACGUAGCCGACCUGAGAGGGUGAUGGCCACACUGGAACUGAGACACGGUCCAGACUCCUACGGGAGGCAGCAGCC